rnacentral:rRNA from 1 species
UACCAGCACCCCGAGUGGUCGGGACGUUUAUUGGGCCUAAAGCAUCCGUAGCCGGUUCUACAAGUCUUCCGUUAAAUCCAACUGCUUAACAGGUGGGCUGCGGAAGAUACUAUAGAGCUAGGAGGCGGGAGAGGCAAGCGGUACUCGAUGGGUAGGGGUAAAAUCCGUCGAUCCAUUGAAGACCACCAGUGGCGAAGGCGGCUUGCCAGAACGCGCUCGACGGUGAGGGAUGAAAGCUGGGGGAGCAAACCGG